rnacentral:rRNA from 1 species
GGGUCAGUAGGUCGGUCAUGCCACUGGUAUGCACUGGUCUCACUGAUUCCUCCCUUCUGAAGAACCGUUAUGCCAUUUAUUUGGUGUGAUGGGGAAUCAGGACUGUUACUUUGAAAAAAGUAGAGUGUUUAAAGCAGGCUCACGCUUGAAUACAUUAGCAUGGAAUAAUGAAAUAGGACGUUUGAUUCUAUUUUGUUGGUUUCUAGGAUCGACGUA